rnacentral:misc_RNA from 1 species
GAGGACCAGGUUAUCCUGAUGAAUUUGAAAGCACGCGGAUCAUAGGAAAGAGACAAUUCAGAAAAGCAGUUGAUCUAUUUAGUAAUGCAUCAGAGCAGUUAAAAGGAAAGGUUGACUAUCGUCACUCAUAUGUUGACUUCUCUAAGCUUGAGGUCACUCUUGAACGUGGAGGAACUACUGAAGUGGUGCAAACAUGUCCUGCUGCAAUGGGGUACUCAUUUGCUGCUGGA